rnacentral:rRNA from 1 species
UACAGAGGUCUCAAGCGUUGUUCGGAUUCAUUGGGCGUAAAGGGUGCGUAGGCGGCGCGGUAAGUCGGGUGUGAAAUCUCGGGGCUUAACUCCGAAACUGCAUUCGAUACUGCCGUGCUUGAGGACUGGAGAGGAGACUGGAAUUUACGGUGUAGCGGUGAAAUGCGCAGAUAUCAGGAAGAACACCCGUGGCGAAGGCGGCUCUCUGGUACGUGACUGACGCUGAGACGCGAAAGCGUGGGGAGCGAACAGG